ACCGUUGUCGUCCAGUGGUUUAGGAUACCAGGUUUUCAACGUAAAUCUUGAAUUUCUGGGGGCCGGGGUUCAAACCCCCGCAACGGUA